UCGGGCUGUCCGCUGCAAUGUGCUCUCC
rnacentral:sRNA from 1 species